rnacentral:tRNA from 1 species
AUUUAAAUAGCUUAAAAAAAGCAUAAUAUUGAAAAUAUUAUAAUAAUAGUAAUAUUUUUAAAUA